rnacentral:rRNA from 1 species
AAUGAACGUUGGCGGCGUGGAUUAGGCAUGCAAGUCGUGCGGAAAGGCCCCGCAAGGGGUACUCGAGCGGCGAAAGGGAUAGUAACACGUAGGUACCCACCUCUGGGACGGGGAUAGCCGGGGGAAACUCCGAUUAAUACCCGAUAACAUCUUCGUAUCAAAGGUGUAAUUCCGCCUGGAGACGGGCCUGCGUCCUAUCAGCUAGUUGGUGAGGUAACGGCUCACCAAGGCUAGGACGGGUAGCGGGUGUGAGAGCAAGACCCGCAUCACUGGGACUGAGACACUGCCCAGACACAUACGGGUGGCUGCAGUCGAGAAUCUUCGUCAAUGGGCGCAAGCCUGACCGAGCGACGCCGCGUGCGAGAUGAAGGCCUUCGGGUUGUAAAUCGCUGUCGGAGGGGAGGAAAUGCCGGUGGGUUCUCCCAUCGGUUUGACCUAUCCUCAGAGGAAGGACGGGCUAAGUUCGUGCCAGCAGCCGCAGUAAAAC